CAAGUAUACAGAACGUGCUCUCGGGCUACAAUAAACCAUGACAGGAAGUGAUGUCAGAGGGAGGUUAAUAUAAGGUAAGGUGUAAUUUGAUAGGUAGGGACAGAAUGAGGCAGGAUAUAAAUAGAUAGAAGUAAUAGGCUACUAUCACUUUAAGGAUUGCUGGUUGUCACGCUUACCCCUGUCGGCUACCCUCUGCGCACGCGCACGUCCCCGGACGCGCUCCCAGACACGCAACUGAGCGACACAGCAGGAAAGGAUGGACGGCGGGACCGGGACGGCGCGGGCUGCGAGGUAUGACAAUGCCAUUCCC